rnacentral:lncRNA from 1 species
UGGAAGCAGAUUGGAUAUUUCGGGGUGUGAAAUACCAGUUUGGUGGCAACUGAGAAGAGAAGGGCUUUGAGCCUUGCUACAAUGAAGUGCUGACAGUGGUGCAAGGAAAGCUUCACCAGCCAGAGGAGAUCCAAGGAAGGUCCUUCAAUGCUUUCUCUUACUAUUAUGAUGGAGCCGUUGAAACACACAUGAUUGAUUAUGAAAAAGAGGGUGUUUUAAAAGUUGAAGAGUUUGGGAAAAAAAGCCAAGGAAGUGUGUGAAGAUAACUUGGAGAACUUCACCUCAGACAGUCCUU